GCUUCCUUUCAGUUAUGCUCUUGAAUCCUUGAAAAUAACCACAGUUUGUGAUGUUAUUUCUUUCGAGUACUUUAAACCUGUUAAAAAAUAAUAGCCUUUGUUCAAUCAAUGCACGUAUCUCCCGUCAAUACUUAUACAUUGAAUACACUAACAUUAGCUUUAAAAUGUCCAAGGCCGUGCAUUACACGGGCAAAGACUAGUAUUAACUAAAGUUUUUGGUUGCAUAGAGUCUCUGCUUUACAAAGCAAUUCAUCUUUACUGCAUGUUGAUGGUCUCCCAUAGUAAAGAUUGACGCUGGAAAACGAUUUAAAAACAAAACCGGGUUGUAAAACAGCGCCAGUGAAAAUGAGAAGAAGCUACAGAUAUACAAGAAUCUUCAAAAGCUGCAUCUACUCAUCUCAUGGUCUUGGACGUAUUCCUAGUCGGUUCCUUAUAUUUGUACCAGCAAGCUUCAUGUCUUCGACCUACAAAUUUUAAAGAAGGGUGUGGUUACGCAAUAAAAAAACUCCCCGAGAAAAAUCAAAUAUAG
rnacentral:lncRNA from 1 species